GCCCAAACUGAUCUCUCUAGUUAUGACAGCUCUCCUCUCACACACACCAAAAUGACUUCAUUUUUAUGGAAAGGGGAAUGCCCCAGUGAAACUUCGUGACAAGAGCUGAAGAGGACACAUUGAGAGAUAACAGGAGUAAAAGAGAUGUGUGUCCACGAUGGCCAGUGAGAGACGCCGGAUCAGAAAAACGGAAGGCACAUUGGCACUAUUGGCAGGAAAAAUCCCAAACAGGCUCUCCAAGAGCAUCAGAGCGUUCUGCAGACUUCCUUCUAGCCCCUUUCCUCACUCUCUGACGUGUGAGAUUUAACUACUGUCUUCAGUGAUCCAGGCACUCACAACAGAAGAAACUGGCAAAGAGAAAGUUCUGUGUGUGUUUGUGUGUUUGUACUAAGAAAAAAAAAACUGGAGGAAUGUUUCUUAAAGGAGGGUGGGGAGGGGGAGGAGUUCAAAACCACAAAGAGCAGGAAGUGUCACAGGCUUCCCCUCACUGUGACAUUAUGGAAGCCAAUCAGCAUCUACUGGUCCUGGCUGAGGCUUUAUGAAAAGUGACACACACAGAAAAGCCAGCAAUGGAGCGCUUUCCCAAUGGUAAUCGAUCUAAAAGAAUUCAACAAGAAUUUGAAAAAAUACUUUCUUAUAUGGGAUGGAUCUCAGAUACCUUGGGAAAUUGAGA